rnacentral:rRNA from 1 species
GAUGAACGCUGGCGGUAUGCUUAACACAUGCAAGUCGAACGGUACCUUCGGGUAUAGUGGCGGACGGGUGAGUAACGCGUGAGAAUCUAUCUUCAGGUCGGGGACAACAGUUAGAAAUGACUGCUAAUACCGGAUGUGCCGAAAGGUAAAAGAUUUAUUGCCUGAAAAAGAGCUCGCGUCAGAUUAGCUAGUAGGUGGUGUAAGAGACUACCUAGGCUUCGAUCUGUAGCUGGUCUGAGAGGACGAUCAGCCACACUGGAACUGAGACACGGUCCAGACUCCUACGGGAGGCAGCAGUAGGGAAUUUUCCGCAAUGGGCGAAAGCCUGACGGAGCAAUACCGCGUGAGGGACGAAGGCUCUUGGGUCGUAAACCUCUUUUCUCAAGGAAGAUUCAGACGGUACUUGAGGAAUAAGCAUCGGCUAACUCUGUG